AUGUCUAGUGAUAUCAUUGUAGAAUAUAGAAUCUUUCACUUGAAUGAUGAUGUCUUAAAAAUUGUUAGAAAUUAUUAUGAUGAUCUGAUUAACUCAGUUGCAAAAGAGUAUAUAUGGCAAAAAGAAAGCUUUAGACUAUCAUCAGUUGAAGAAUAUUCAGGACUUGCAUGCCUUAGUGGAAGCACAUGUGUUGGUGAGAAUAUUAAUGAUGAAUGGUUUAUUGUUUAUCUUCUUUUUGAAAUUAGUAAACAUCAUAAAGAUGUUAUUAUAGUAAGUG
rnacentral:sRNA from 1 species